CUAAGGCGAAUAGCGCCCUGAACGCGCCCUAUCUCAUCUGAUCUCGGAAGCUAAGCAGGGUCGGGCCUGGUUAGUACUUGGG
rnacentral:rRNA from 1 species